UAGGGAAUCUUCCGCAAUGGACGCAAGUCUGACGGAGCAACGCCGCGUGAGUGAAGAAGGAUUUCGGUUCGUAAAACUCUGUUGUUAGAGAAGAACAGCGCAUAGAGUAACUGUUAUGCGUGUGACGGUAUCUAACCAGAAAGCCACGGCUAACUACGUGCCAGCAGCCGCGGUAAUACGUAGGUGGCAAGCGUUGUCCGGAUUUAUUGGGUGUAAAGCGAGCGCAGGCGGUCAAUUAAGUCUGAUGUGAAAGCCCCCGGCUCAACCGGGGAGGGUCAUUGGAAACUGGUUGACUUGAGUGCAGAAGAGGAGAGUGGAAUUCCAUGUGUAGCGGUGAAAUGCGUAGAUAUAUGGAGGAACACCGGUGGCGAAGGCGACUCUCUGGUCUGUAACUGACGCUGAGGUUCGAAAGCGUGGGUAGCAAACAGG
rnacentral:rRNA from 1 species